AGUUUGAUCCUGGCUCAGAUUGAACGCUGGCGGCAUGCCUUACACAUGCAAGUCGAACGGUAACAGGUCUUCGGAUGCUGACGAGUGGCGAACGGGUGAGUAAUACAUCGGAACGUGCCCGAUCGUGGGGGAUAACGGAGCGAAAGCUUUGCUAAUACCGCAUACGAUCUACGGAUGAAAGCAGGGGACCGCAAGGCCUUGCGCGGACGGAGCGGCCGAUGGCAGAUUAGGUAGUUGGUGGGAUAAAAGCUUACCAAGCCGACGAUCUGUAGCUGGUCUGAGAGGACGACCAGCCACACUGGGACUGAGACACGGCCCAGACUCCUACGGGAGGCAGCAGUGGGGAAUUUUGGACAAUGGGCGAAAGCCUGAUCCAGCCAUGCCGCGUGCAGGAUGAAGGCCUUCGGGUUGUAAACUGCUUUUGUUAGGGAAUAAACCUUCUUACGUGUAAGGAGCUGAAUGUACCUAAAGAAUAAGGAUCGGCUAACUCCGUGCCAGCAGCCGCGGUAA
rnacentral:rRNA from 1 species